CAGGGUAAACGGAAAAGACCCGAAAUUCCGAAAAGGGAGAUUCACGUCUGCUCGCGCGCCUCUGCUCGGCACCUGUCGCGUUUGGACGGCCAUUUGUGCCCCCGUUUGUGCGCAAGCUCAAGCGGUCGGGUCUGGUUGCCGACGCGCGGGUUGUCCGAGCCGCGGCGGACCGCACUUCUCCCUUAGUAGGACGUCGCGACCCGCCCGUCCGUGGCCUAAGGCUGGGCAAGACGCCUGACGCUCGCCGUUGGCUUUUAGCCAGCGACUGUGCGUCAGACUGCCCGUGCUUCCCGGCCACGGUUUUUUUACGGACGGUAUCGAAUACCGGUGUCGAGUCGCUUCUUCGCGAGGGGGAGAUAAAACACCCUCUCGUACGGAAGCGCCCUAGGCAGAGGGCAAGGUUUUUCCGAGUCUCUAAAAACGUAAGUUUUGAAGUCAAGACGUUUGUUUUCUGUUCGUCUGGCGGAGCUCGGGCCUGUUGGUUCUCUUUUGUCUUUGGGCAGGCUCAUUCCCAUUGCGCGGAGAAAGGCACCAGUCAGCGGCGAUCUAGUUUUGGGCUCUUUUCCGACCCGUCUUGAAACACGGACCAAGGAGUUUAGCGUGCUCGCGAGUCAUUGGGCGUUACAAAACCUAAAGGCGAAAUGAAAGUAAAGAGAGUCCCUUUUUUUCUGUGGCUCUCGAGGGAGGAUGAGCUACUGCUCUGGUCGUUCCUAACCGGCGGCUGAGCGUGUCUCCGCACUCCCGGGGCGACUCUUUCUCAUUGCGAGUGGAGGCGCACCAAGAGCGAGUACGCUGAAACCCGAAAGAUGGUGAACUAUGCCUGGCCAGGACGAAGCCAGGGGAAACCCUGGUGGAGGUCCGCAGCGAUUCUGACGUGCAAAUCGAUCGUCGGAGCUGGGUAUAGGGGCGAAAGACCAAUCGAACCAUCUAGUAGCUGGUUCCCUCUGAAGUUUCCCUCAGGAUAGCUUGCGCUCGGGUGUGAAGAGUCUCAUCCGGUAGAGCGAAUGAUUAGAGGCCUUGGGGUCGAAACGACCUCAACCUAUUCUCAAACUCCAAAUAGAUGAGAACCCCGGCUUGCUUGAAUUUUCCAUGUGUGUUGAAGCCGCGGGACUCGGAUCAGAGUGCCAAGUGGGCCAAUUUUGGUAAGCAGAAUGC
rnacentral:rRNA from 1 species